CCUACGGGUGGCUGCAGUGGGGAAUAUUGGGCAAUGGGCACAAGCCUGACCCAGCAACGCCGCGUGAAGGAAGAAGGCUUUCGGGUUGUAAACUUCUUUUCUGAGGGACGAAGAAAGUGAAGGUACCUCGAGAAUAAGCCACGGCUAACUACGUGCCAGCAGCCGCGGUAAUACGUAGGUGGCAAGCGUUAUCCGGAUUUAUUGGGUGUAAAGGGCGUGUAGGCGGGAAAGAAAGUCAGAUGUUAAAACCCAGGGCUCAACCCUGAGCCUGCAUUUGAAACUGUUUUUCUUGAGUGCUGGAGAGGCAAUCGGAAUUCCGGGUGUAGCGGUGAAAUGCGUAGAUAUACGGAGGAACACAAGUGGCGAAGGCGGAUUGCUGGACAGUAACUGACGCUGAGGCGCGAAAGCGUGGGGAGCAAACAGGAUUAGAUACCCCAGUAGU
rnacentral:rRNA from 1 species